rnacentral:rRNA from 1 species
AUUGAACGCUGGCGGCAGGCCUAACACAUGCAAGUCGAGCGAGCGGCGGACGGGUGAGUAAUGUAUGGGGACUGCCCGAUAGAGGGGGAUAAACCUUGGAAACGGUAUCUAAUAUCGCACACUAUCUGAUAACACAUAUGGGAUUAGCUAGUGGGUGGGGUAAUGGCUCACCUAGGCGACGAUCCCUAGCUGGUCGGUGAGGAUGAUCAGCCACACUGGAACUGAGACACGGCCCAGACUCCUACGGAGGCAGCAGUGGGGAAUAUUGCACAAUGGGCGCAAGCCUGAUGCAGCCAUGCCGCGUGUAUGAAGAAGGCCCUAGGGUUGUAAAGUACUUUCAGUCGGGAGGCGUUACCGACAGAAGAAGCACCGGCUAACUCCGUGCCAGCAGCCGCGGUAAUUC